rnacentral:rRNA from 1 species
GAUCAUGGCUCAGGAUGAACGCUGGCGGCGCGCCUAACACAUGCAAGUCGAACGAGCGAGAGAGAGCUUGCUUUCUCGAGCGAGUGGCGAACGGGUGAGUAACGCGUGAGGAACCUGCCUCAAAGAGGGGGACAACAGUUGGAAACGACUGCUAAUACCGCAUAAGCCCACAGGUCGGCAUCGACCAGAGAGAAAAGGAGCAAUCCGCUUUGAGAUGGCCUCGCGUCCG